CUGGAGAACAACAAAUACCUCUGCUGGUGGGUCUCAGCCCACGGCGCCGUGUCUGGUGCACUGGCUGUGAGUUCUUUGCCGUAAGUCUUUUCGCCUCGCCAGGCCCCAGAUACUGGCAUCUCCUUUCAAAAAGAAAACGCCAAAAGCUAAAUGUAUACCAUCUCGGAGAAAAGAAGUUCUGGGGACUCCUUGGUGGCAAAGGCGGUUGAGUGCAGCGCUGUGGAGCUGUCUGCAGCCUCUGCAGCAUGGGUUCGAUCCCGGCCGGCCAGUGAGGGUCCCACAUGGUGAAGCAGACCUUUCCUGUCAUGCCUGCUGCUCCCCUCAGCAGUGUAUUUCAUCAGUCUGCCUGUUCUGUUCCCCGCUCUGUCUCUGGUGAAUCCUCUCAUCCUCCUGCGCAUCUGGCCUAUACCCCAGUUCUUGUAUAAAUAAAUAAAUCUUUAAAAAAAAAUAAAGUCACUGAAUUUGGCAGUGCUGGAACCAAACUUCUCCCCCUUUACUUCCCUUUCCCACAGAGAUGCACUUGUUUGCCCAAAGCAGAAGUCCUGGUUCUCAUAAAUGAUAUUA